rfam:Triticum urartu cultivar G1812 contig829586, whole genome shotgun sequence.
UAAAUACUCCCUCUGUCCCAAAUUACUUGUCCCAAAAAUGGAUAAAAAUGGAUGUAUCUAGACCUAAAAUACGUCUAGAUACAUCUAUUUCUUCGGCAAGUAAUCCCGGACGGAUGGGAGUAUUUC